GACGAACGCUGGCGGCGUGCUUAACACAUGCAAGUCGAACGCUGAAGCUUGGUGCUUGCACUGGGUGGAUGAGUGGCGAACGGGUGAGUAAUACGUGAGUAACCUGCCCUUGACUCUGGGAUAAGCCCGGGAAACUGGGUCUAAUACUGGAUACGACAUGUCACCGCAUGGUGGUGUGUGGAAAGGGUUUUACUGGUUUUGGAUGGGCUCACGGCCUAUCAGCUUGUUGGUGGGGUAAUGGCUCACCAAGGCGACGACGGGUAGCCGGCCUGAGAGGGUGACCGGCCACACUGGGACUGAGACACGGCCCAGACUCCUACGGGAGGUAGCAGUGGGGAAUAUUGCACAAUGGGCGGAAGCCUGAUGCAGCGACGCCGCGUGAGGGAUGACGGCCUUCGGGUUGUAAACCUCUUUCAGCACGGAAGAAGCGAAAGUGACGGUACGUGCAGAAGAAGCGCCGGCUAACUACGUG
rnacentral:rRNA from 1 species